rnacentral:rRNA from 1 species
AUUGAACGCUGGCGGCAGGCCUACCACAUGCAAGUCGAACGAGUGGCGGACGGGUGAGUAAUGUCAGGGAAACUGCCUGAAGGAGGGGGAUAACUCCUGGAAACGGUAGCUAAUACCGCAUACCAUCAAAUGUGCCCAGAGGGGAGUAGCUUGUUGGGGGGGUAACGGCUCACCAAGGCGACAAUCACGAGCUGGUCUGAGAGGAUGACAAGCCACACUGGAAAUGAGACACGUGCCAGACUCCUACGGUAGGCAGAAGUUGGGAAUAUUGCACAAUGGGCGAGAGCCUGAUGCAGCCAUGCCGCGUGUAUGAAGAAGGCCUUCGGGUUGUAAAGUACUUUCAGCGGGGAGGCGUUACCCGCAGAAGAAGCACCGGCGAACUCCGUGCCAGCCGCCGCGGUAAUAC